rnacentral:rRNA from 1 species
CUCAGGAUGAACGCUGGCGGCGUGCUUAACACAUGCAAGUCGAACGGUGAAGCCAAGCUUGCUUGGUGGAUCAGUGGCGAACGGGUGAGUAACACGUGAGCAACCUGCCCUGGACUCUGGGAUAAGCGCUGGAAACGGCGUCUAAUACUGGAUAUGAGCUCUCAUCGCAUGGUGGGGGUUGGAAAGAUUUUUCGGUCUGGGAUGGGCUCGCGGCCUAUCAGCUUGUUGGUGAGGUAAUGGCUCACCAAGGCGUCGACGGGUAGCCGGCCUGAGAGGGUGACCGGCCACACUGGGACUGAGACACGGCCCAGACUCCUACGGGAGGCAGCAGUGGGGAAUAUUGCACAAUGGGCGGAAGCCUGAUGCAGCAACGCCGCGUGAGGGAUGACGGCCUUCGGGUUGUAAACCUCUUUUAGCAGGGAAGAAGCGAAAGUGACGGUACCUGCAGAAAAAGCGCCGGCUAACUACGUGCCAGCAGCCGCGGUAAUACGUAGGGCGCAAGCGUUAUCCGGAAUUAUUGGGCGUAAAGAGCUCGUAGGCGGUUUGUCGCGUCUGCUGUGAAAUCCCGAGGCUCAACCUCGGGCCUGCAGUGGGUACGGGCAGACUAGAGUGCGGUAGGGGAGAUUGGAAUUCCUGGUGUAGCGGUGGAAUGCGCAGAUAUCAGGAGGAACACCGAUGGCGAAGGCAGAUCUCUGGGCCGUAACUGACCGCUAGA